UACGGGGGGAGCAAGCGUUGUUCGGAUUUACUGGGCGUAAAGGGCGCGUAGGCGGCCUCUGCAAGUCGACUGUGAAAUCUCCGGGCUUAACCCGGAAAGGUCAGCCGAUACUGCAGGGCUAGAGUGCAGAAGGGGCAACUGGAAUUCUCGGUGUAGCGGUGAAAUGCGUAGAUAUCAGGAGGAACACCAAUGGCGAAGGCAGCUCGCUGGGACGUGACUGACGCUGAGACGCGAAAGCGUGGGGAUCAAACAGG
rnacentral:rRNA from 1 species